UGCCCAUCAUCCUAGCCUGUUAUCUGUGAUAAAGCACACUGAAGUUAGGUUUGGAAUGCAUCCUUAUCAUGAAUGCUCUACACCUCCACCUCCAUCUCCCACAACCUAGGUAACAGCUUUGAGACUCACUAAAAGUUGAGUCCCCUGAAUGAUGUAGGCUAUGGGGCCACAUAAGACUUUGUCCAUCCAGGGUUACAUUGAACGACAACUUUAAACUAAAAAACCAACAUUUUUCACACAACUCCAGGUUGUUACUAACAAAUUACUACAAGUGUCAUCAAGGGAUAACUACAAGUAGAAGCACCAUUUUUGGAUGGAAAAAACCCUUCAGGAAAGUAUACGUAUCACAUGUAACAUGUAGUGUAACAAAGUAUGAACAGUAAGGUUUUUACAUACAGUAGUAUUACAUACGUACAUAACUUUUUUUUACAGGAAUUUCCAACCAAGUUUGAUUAUGUACAUACAUGUUA